UAGGUGAAGAAGCCCAUUGGAAAAGGCUGGAUACUGUGUGAUUCCAACUCCAUGACAUUCAGGAAAAGGCAAAACCAUGAAAACAAGAAAGAUCAGCAGCUGCCGGGGCUGGGCAGAGGGUGACUGGCAGGAGCACAGAGUGCAGGAAGGAUACUGAAUUCCUUGAAACGUUGACCUCCAAGAUGCUAACUCAGGUGGGAGGAAUUCAAGACAAGGAAGGAGCCUCUUUUGGGUUCUGGUUCCGGUCCCGCUACUGAAAACCCCUGAUACAGUUCAAGGAGUGCGACAGCGCUGGUUUCAAAUCCAGGUUUGCAGCCUGGUCUGGCGUGGAGAGGUUUUACUCUUGGGAGGCCCAGGAGAGGCAGAGGGUCUGGGCCAGGGAGGGCUGGUGUCCACGGCACUCCCGGUUCCGGGCUCCAAGUGUGUGGGGGGAGGGUGGCCACUCAAAGGAGAGAGCCUCAGAAGGAGGGCACUGGGGACCCAGGUACUGCUGAACCCAAAGAAAUGAGCCGUUAAAAAGGAGAGAAAUGUGUGUGGAAGCCCGGAGCUCCAUGGGCAGGG
rnacentral:lncRNA from 10 species